rnacentral:rRNA from 1 species
UGGCUUCGGCCAUGGGGAGAGCGGCGAACGGGUGAGUAACACGUGAGUGAUCUGCCCUUGACACCGGGAUAGCCCGGGGAAACCCGGAUUGAUACCGGAUGGCCUGUCGAGCCCACGGGCUCGUUAGAAAAGAUGGCUUCGGCUUUCGGUCGAGGAGGAGCUUGCGGCGGAUUAGCUUGUUGGUGAGGUAACGGCUCACCAAGGCGACGAUCCGUAGCUGGUCUGAGAGGACGAUCAGCCACACUGGGACUGAGACACGGCCCAGACUCCUACGGGAGGCAGCAGUGGGGAAUCUUGCGCAAUGGGCGAAAGCCUGACGCAGCGACGCCGCGUGAGGGAAGAAGGCCUUCGGGUUGUAAACCUCUUUCAGGAGGGACGAAGCUACUCGGGUUAAUACCCCAGAGGGUGACGGUACCUCCAGAAGAAGCCCCGGCUAACUACGUGCCAGCAGCCGCGGUAAUACGUAGGGGGCAAGCGUUGUCCGGAAUUAUUGGGCGUAAAGCGCGUGUAGGUGGCCAGAUAAGUCCGCUGUGAAAUCUCGAGGCUCAACUUCGAGCUGUCGGUGGAAACUGUCUGGCUAGAGUCCGGAAGAGGAGAAUGGAAUUCCUGGUGUAGCGGUGAAAUGCGCAGAUAUCAGGAAGAACACCCGUGGCGAAGGCGGUUCUCUGGGACGGUACUGACGCUGAGACGCGAAAGCGUGGGGAGCGAACAGGAUUAGAUACCCUGGUAGUCCACGCCGUAAACGAUGGGUGCUAGGUGUGGGCGGUGUCGACUCCGUCCGUGCCGAAGCUAACGCAUUAAGCACCCCGCCUGGGGAGUACGGCCGCAAGGCUAAAACUC